UACAGAGGUCUCGAGCGUUAGGCGGAAUCACUGGGCUUAAAGCGUGUGUAGGCGGGUCGGUAAGUACCUUGUGAAAUCCCACGGCUCAACCGUGGAACUGCUGGGUAUACUGCCGAUCUUGUGCAACCUAGGGGCGAGCGGAACAGAUGGUGGAGCGGUGAAAUGCGUAGAUAUCAUCUGGAACGCCAAUGGUGAAAACAGCUCGCUGGGGGUUUGCAGACGCUGAGACACGAAAGCGUGGGGAGCGAACAGG
rnacentral:rRNA from 1 species